ACURDAAGUAGAACUGCGGAAGGAUCAUUGUCGAACCUAAACAAGCAGACCGCGAACGCGUUCCCGAGCACGAGGGCGACNGUGGCGCGUGGGGGGGCACGCUCCCCUCCCGUGCCCCGUCGCCCGACCCCGGUCGACGUGCGCCCCGCGGUGCGCCGCUCGGGCUAACGAACCCCGGCGCGGAAGGCGCCAAGGAAAACUCAAACGAAGCGCUCGUCCCCCCGCUCGCGCCCCGUCCGCGGUGCGCGCACGGGUGGGGGUGGCCGAGCGCCUCCUCAAUGUCAAAACGACUCUCGGCAACGGAUAUCUCGGCUCUCGCAUCGAUGAAGAACGUAGCAAAAUGCGAUACUUGGUGUGAAUUGCAGAAUCCCGUGAACCAUCGAGUCUUUGAACGCAAGUUGCGCCCGAAGCCCUCGGGCCGAGGGCACGCCUGCCUGGGCGUCACGCAUCGCGUCGCCCCCCUCCCUCGCCCCUUCCCGGGGGAGAUGACGGAGGGUGGUGCGGAUAUUGGCCUCCCGUGCGCCCGUGGCGCGCGGCCGGCCCAAAUGCGAUCCCCCGGCGGCGUCCCGUCGCGACAGUGUGGUGGACGAGUCUCUAGCUCAUGCGCUUUCCGCCGCGACGAGGGCCGCCGCCCGGCCGGGCAUCACCAAGGACCCCGGCGCACUCGUGCGCAUCCGACCGCGACCCCAGGUCAGGCGGGAUUACCCG
rnacentral:rRNA from 1 species